rnacentral:rRNA from 1 species
AAAUUGAAGAGUUUGAUCAUGGCUCAGAUUGAACGCUGGCGGCAGGCCUAACACAUGCAAGUCGAACGGUAACAGGAAGCGCUUGCUGCUUCGCUGACGAGUGGCGGACGGGUGAGUAAUGUCUGGGAAACUGCCUGAUGGAGGGGGAUAACUACUGGAAACGGUAGCUAAUACCGCAUAACGUCGCAAGACCAAAGAGGGGGACCUUCGGGCCUCUUGCCAUCGGAUGUGCCCAGAUGGGAUUAGCUUGUUGGUGGGGUAACGGCUCACCAAGGCGACGAUCCCUAGCUGGUCUGAGAGGAUGACCAGCCACACUGGAACUGAGACACGGUCCAGACUCCUACGGGAGGCAGCAGUGGGGAAUAUUGCACAAUGGGCGCAAGCCUGAUGCAGCCAUGCCGCGUGUAUGAAGAAG